rnacentral:misc_RNA from 1 species
CUACAGGCUACAGGCUACAGCCGUUCUUGUAUGGUUUACAUUCCUUCACUAAGAAGAAAAGAAGGGGACAAACUGUGAAAUUAUCAGAGUCAAUCCCUCGAUCGAAAAACUUCACACUGUAAAUCGUGAAUCCAAUUCUACUCCCAUGGCCGCCCAAUCCUCCGCCGCGGCCACCACCAACAUCAUGCUUGCAAUCUACGAGAAGAAAACCACUUCCCUUGAUCUCUACCGUCCAUUACGCAACUACAUCUCUAUGGUUUACUCCGAACGCGAGGCCCAGAACAUCGAAGACGACCUCCAGACCCUUAAGGAGUAUCGCUCCGACGUUGAACGCCAAUCUGACCCUUCACCCACCUCCCGCCGUGACCUCCUUCAGAAUUACUUCAAAGCCCUUUGCUUGGUCGAGACCCGCUUCCCCAUCUCCCCCGAUAAGGAUCACAUCAAUACAGUAACGUUUAUCUGGUACGACGCGUUUAAGCAGAAGCAGAAAGCGUCUCAGCAGAAUAUCCAUUUGGAGAAGGCCGCGGUGCUGUUCAAUUUGGGUGCCGUGUAUAGUCAGAUUGGGCUUUCGUUUGAUCGGGCCACUGUAGAAGGGAGACGGCAGGCUAUUCAUGCGUUUAUUGGUGCUGCAGGAGCGUUUGCUUAUCUGAGAGAUAAUGCGGCGACCAAGGCUUCGAUGGGGUCGAGUACCACCGUGGAUGUGUCGGUAGAGUGCGCGGGGAUGUUGGAGAGGCUGAUGCUGGCUCAAGCGCAGGAGUGUGUGUUCGAGAAUACCAUUGCCAAAGGGAAUACCCCAGGGGUUUGUGCGAAGAUUGCUCGGCAGGUUGGGCUGUACUAUGAGGAAGCUUUAGCAGCAUUGAAUGUUGCACCUCUGAAGGAUCAUUUUGACAAGCCUUGGAUUGCUCAUGUCCAGUUGAAGGCAGCUCUAUUCUAUGCUGAAGCUUGUUAUCGAUAUAGUUUAGAGCUACAUGAGAAAGAAGAAAUUGCUGAAGAAAUUGCACGGUUGAGUAGUGGGAUUAGUGCCUUAGCUGAGGCAAAGAAAAACUCAAAAGGGGCUGCAGCACAGCUUCUGGAAGCAAUCAGCAAGCUGGAAGCCAAUAUCAAUCGCAACCUGGAGAGGGCUGUGAAGGAAAACGAUAGAGUCUAUCUCAUGAGGGUUCCUUCUCCAACUUCCUUAUCUCCUCUUCCAGCAUUUUCCAUGGUGAAGCCAAUGUCAAUGAAUGAGGUACUAGAUGCAAGCAAGGAAAAGAUGUUUGCAAGUCUUGUUCCAGACAGUAGUGCAAAAGCUCUUUCAAGGUACACAGAAAUGGUUGAUGACAUCAUCAGGACACAAGCUGAGAAAUUACAGCAAGCUAGUGAGCUAACUCGCGUGAGGCUCAAGGAAAUGGACCUUCCAGAUUCAAUUAUUGCUUUGGAAGGAAAUUUUACACUGCCAACAGAUCUUAAAGAAGAUGUGGAAGCAGUGCAGAUUAGUGGGGGCCCAGCUGGUUUGGAAGCUGAGUUGCAACAACUUAGAGAUUUGAGAAGGGUGAACCAAGAAUUGCUGGUCCAGACUGAGGAGCUUUUGCAGAAAGAAGCAACAGAAGAUGCUCAAUUUAGAAAUCAAUUUGGUACACGGUGGACUAGGCCUCAGUCCAGCACUUUGACAAAGAACUUGCAGGAUAGAUUAAAUAGAUUUGCAGCCAACCUAAAGCAAGCUGCAGACAGUGAUGGUAGAAUUGAGCGAUCUGUGAGGGAUCAUUCUACACUCAUGUCAAUCCUUGAUCGCCGACCGAUAGAAUCUGCUCUUCCAACUUUGGCUAGGCCAAUAAUGUCUUUGGAUGCCAAUGAAGAUGCUAUAGUGGGUUCUCUGAAGCAGAGCUUGGUACAUUCUUCUUUCAAUGCUAAACUUUGUGAUUGAUUUUAAAUUUGUGCUUUUUUAUUAUUUUAUCUCUUUUUAUUGAUUUUCCUCUUAAGUGUGACCCUGAAAGAGGGAAAAGAAGAAAGGAGGUUCUUCUUCUGUGUCUGCAUCAUGUUGUUCAAGUCUCUGUGUUUUAUACAUUCUGUGGGUUUUUUAAGGGUGUUGGAAAGGAAAGUUAAUGGAGGUGAAGGAGGGGAAUGGUGUAGAACGUGAAGGAAGGUUAAUUGCUCUUACCAUGUGAUACUCAAAGAAAAAUUUAAAUACUUUGAGUUCCAUCCUUUAACCCGCAAUUUGAGGGUUAAGAAAUGGGACAUUAACUUUACAUCCUGAAAUAAACUCCCAAACAAGGUUAGAUGUUAAUUUCUAUUUCUAAUUAUAUUUCACUCUUUUAACCUCCCCUGACCUACUCCUAUGCAUGGUGUUAAGUUUGUCAAUGUUGUCUUCUUCACUUGAUGGCAUAUUGUAUGGCAAGUUUCCCUGAAGCAUUUAAUGGCAUACGCCUUAGGAGCUAGGAAGAACACAUAUUACUUUUCCAAAACUAGCUUGGUGUGUUGCAAUUGAUAAUACAUGCUGUUGCCAAUAUAAAGCUUUGAUAAAGAUGAGAAUGAUCUAGUCACAGGUAGUGUAUCUUGAAAAACAAACUGCACCAAAGGCGGAAAAAAGAGGAAAGAAACUAAAACAUAAGAUAGAAACACAAGUCUAUUUUGUAUGCCCACAGCCCACCAACCUAUACUUGCUAGAAUACGGAAGGCAAAUGGAAUGUUGACAUCACAAAUGGUAAUUUAUUUGCUUGUGAAAUAACAAAAUUGCUGUAAUUAGCAAGUGGAGCAAUAAAAUAAUUGUUUUGUUAGGUGAACUGAUAUCCUGGUUAUGAACUGAUAUCCUGGUUAUCAUGCAACAGAUAAAUGUGGAAUGUGAUAAAAAUCAGACAGAAGGAUGUGAACUAAAACUUUAAUAUGCAAAUAUCGGAAAAAUAGUUUAAUGAAAAAACUGAGAGAAAGAAGUAUUACUUUAUUGGCAAAGGAACCUAAGAAUGAUUAAUGGUGUAAACCUUGAUUUGGUCCUUGACAAAUUCCAUUUCUGGAGUUAGGUCUGAUAUGACCUACUUUUAUACACAAUUGACAAUGACAGUCUUUGCCUGCCGAAUUAUGCAGAGGCAAUUGGAGAUUCUAGGUGCUCAAAGGGCAGGUCUUGAAGAUAUGCUCAAGGAAAUGAAAAGGAAGGAUGACAUACUACCAAAGUUGAUGACAUCCACUGGUUCCUAUGAAGAUCUUUUUAGGAAAGAGAUAGCCAAAUAUGACGAAAUCUGUGAGGAUAUUGCCCAAAAUAUUGAGGCACAAGAACAAGUAUUGUUGCAAAUUCAGGCUCAAAAUGAGGAAUUUUCUGUUGUCUUCAACCUUGAAGAUUACAAAGGUAUGUUUUGUUUUUAUUUUUGUCCAAAAUGAGUUCUCUUGGGAUUGGGACCCAUGCAUUGGCAGCAGUUGAAACUAGCACAUGAAACUUAGUAGCUUCAAUUCCUCAAACUUCAUCUAUUUUUCCCCCCUUGUUUCUUUGAGGUUUUGAUGAUGGUAUUUGCUUGGCUUUGCAAUAGAUUGAAGGAUUUUAUUUGUUGAUUUUGGGUAACAGAUAGUGAAAGGAGGGGGAGAGAUUGAGGAAGAGAGGGGGAGGGAAAGAGAAGAGGAGACUAGGAGUGAGGGCACGUGAAAGGCAGAGAGAAAGAAUGGGAAGGAUAGAUAAAUAUGCUUUUGGCAAAUUUUUGAAUUAAAAAAUUAAGAAAAAAACGGAACCCAUAUCAAUUUUCUAGUGUAAAUCUAACCGAAAUCUGGCAUGAAAGAUACUGUGCUUAAAUUGAUGUUUGGUAGGUUUUGUGAUACAAAUUGAAAUGAAGGACUGCAUCUUUACAACACCUAAUUUGAGGAACUGUGGAUGAUAUUAGGCCUUUAAAGAGUAGAAAUUGGAGUUUAUCAUUCUUUGUAACCAGAAUAUGGGAGGUUAUAAUGUAGUUUGAGUUUCAUAUGUGAAAUACUGUCAACGAGUAUGCAUAUUAAUUAGUUUCUUAUUUGUUGGGCAUAUAUAAUGUUUCGAAGGUUGCCAGCAUGUUUACAUCAACCCUUUUAUUUCUUCUUGUCAGAUAUUUCUCAUAUUUUGUAAUGUGGCUCAAGCGAGUUUUCUAUAUUUUAAAAACUAGUUCAGUUUUAUUUGAGUGCUUUACAUCUUUCAAUAAAUCCAUUUCAGGGAAAUUAAUGAUAAAUUGGGCAGUAUUGUUAACUUUGUGGUUCUUUUUUACGAUACAUGUUCUUGCCAUAAAUUUGUCAUGUUAUUGUUUCAAUCCUCAUAGCCUCUUAGUAACAAUGACAUGAAUAUCUAGUUUCUGUUGUACUUCCCUUGAUUGAUUUUCCCUGCCUGGUCUUUGUUAUGGCAUGUUUCUCCUCAAAGGUCCUUAGUUUAGCUUAAUAUGAAAGAAUAUUUCUUGUUUUGAUGAUGCUUUCAGCCCACUUCUUUUAUUGUAAAAGAAAUACACCUCUUUUGACAAAGACUUCCCCUCCCAAUUUUGUUUC